rnacentral:rRNA from 1 species
GAUCUCUUGAAUAUUUUUAGUUUUUAUAAUUUUUUAAAAUAUUUAUGAGGAGUCAUACGCUUUCGUUUUGUAGGUUAUCUAGUUUGUGUUAAGUUUAGAGGGGAAAUCUCUUUUUAAUCUUUUUUUUAAAGAAAAGUAAUUUUUUUUAAUAGUAAAUAAUUGUGUAAUAACUUUUUUUUUGUUUUUAAGAUUUUAUGGGUAUAAGAAUUUUAUUUAUGAAUUAAUAGAUUAGUAGAAUUUUGAUUUCUUUUUUUGUUUUGAUAAUAUUUGAUAUUUAAAAUUAUUUUUAUUUACUGAUUUUUUCUUAAACUGGUUAAUAAAAUCAUAGCUAUAAAUUUUAUAGUUGUUUCUGCUCUAUGCGAAAAGUAAAUGGCUGUUAGAUACACUAAGGUAGCAAAAUCAUUAGUUAUUUAAUUGGUAACUUGUAUGAAUGAAUAUUUUAAGAAGAUAUUAAUUUUUUUUUUGAAUUUAUAAUUUUGUUGAAAAUAACAAAUUAUCCUAUAAGACUAAAAGACCCUAAAAUUUUUAUAACUAAAGGUUAUUUGGUUGGGGCAACAGUAAAAAAUCAAUAUUUAAUGUUUUUGUUUUUUUUGUACUUUUUCUAAAGAAAAAAAGAAAAAUACUUUAGGGAUAACAGCUUAAUUGUUUCUAAGAGUUCUUAUUAUUGAAAUAGUUUUAGACCUCGAUGUUGGAUUGGAAAAACUUUUUAAAGCAG